UGCGAAGCGAAGCAGUGAUGUGAAGCAAAUCGCACCAAAGCCAGUCCCAGUUCGGAUAAGAGGCUGAAACUCGCCUCUUUGAAGUCGGAAUCGCUAGUAAUCGCAGAUCAGCAUGUUGCGGUGAAUACGUUCCCGGGUCUUGUACACACCGCCCGUCAAACCAUGAGAGUCACCAACACCCGAAGUCCGCCUUGGCGGCCUAAGGUGGGGGAGAUGAUUGGGGUUAAGUCGUAACAAGGUACC
rnacentral:rRNA from 1 species